UACGUAGGGUGCAAGCGUUGUCCGGAAUUAUUGGGCGUAACGCGCGCGUAGGCGGUUACUUAAGUCGGAUGUGAAAGCCCUCGGCUUAACUGAGGAAGUGCACCCGAAACUGAGUAGCUAGAGUACGAAAGAGGGUCGCGGAAUUCCCGGUGUAGAGGUGAAAUUCGUAGAUAUCGGGAGGAACACCGGUGGCGAAGGCGGCGACCUGGGUCGAGACUGACGCUGAGGCGCGAAAGCGUGGGGAGCAAACAGG
rnacentral:rRNA from 1 species